rnacentral:rRNA from 2 species
UUAGGAUUUGUGUAUUUUGCUCAGGACGAACGCUGGCGGCGUGCUAAUACAUGCAAGUCGAACGAACUCUGGUAUUGAUUGGUGCUUGCAUCAUGAUUUACAUUUGAGUGAGUGGCGAACUGGUGAGUAACACGUGGGAAACCUGCCCAGAAGCGGGGGAUAACACCUGGAAACAGAUGCUAAUACCGCAUAACAACUUGGACCGCAUGGUCCGAGUUUGAAAGAUGGCUUCGGCUAUCACUUUUGGAUGGUCCCGCGGCGUAUUAGCUAGAUGGUGAGGUAACGGCUCACCAUGGCAAUGAUACGUAGCCGACCUGAGAGGGUAAUCGGCCACAUUGGGACUGAGACACGGCCCAAACUCCUACGGGAGGCAGCAGUAGGGAAUCUUCCACAAUGGACGAAAGUCUGAUGGAGCAACGCCGCGUGAGUGAAGAAGGGUUUCGGCUCGUAAAACUCUGUUGUUAAAGAAGAACAUAUCUGAGAGUAACUGUUCAGGUAUUGACGGUAUUUAACCAGAAAGCCACGGCUAACUACGUGCCAGCAGCCGCGGUAAUACGUAGGUGGCAAGCGUUGUCCGGAUUUAUUGGGCGUAAAGCGAGCGCAGGCGGUUUUUUAAGUCUGAUGUGAAAGCCUUCGGCUCAACCGAAGAAGUGCAUCGGAAACUGGGAAACUUGAGUGCAGAAGAGGACAGUGGAACUCCAUGUGUAGCGGUGAAAUGCGUAGAUAUAUGGAAGAACACCAGUGGCGAAGGCGGCUGUCUGGUCUGUAACUGACGCUGAGGCUCGAAAGUAUGGGUAGCAAACAGGAUUAGAUACCCUGGUAGUCCAUACCGUAAACGAUGAAUGCUAAGUGUUGGAGGGUUUCCGCCCUUCAGUGCUGCAGCUAACGCAUAAGCAUCCGCUGGGAAUACGCCAACCGUG